rnacentral:rRNA from 1 species
CCUACGGGCGGCUGCAGUGAGGAAUAUUGGUCAAUGGGCGCAAGCCUGAACCAGCCAAGUCGCGUGAAGGAAGAAGGAUCUAUGGUUCGUAAACUUCUUUUGCAGGGGAAUAAAGUGCAGGACGUGUCCUGUUUUGUAUGUACCCUGAGAAUAAGGAUCGGCUAACUCCGUGCCAGCAGCCGCGGUAAUACGGAGGAUCCGAGCGUUAUCCGGAUUUAUUGGGUUUAAAGGGUGCGUAGGUGGUUUGAUAAGUCAGCGGUGAAAGUUUGCAGCUUAACUGUAAAAAUGCCGUUGAAACUGUCGGACUUGAGUGUAAAUGAGGUAGGCGGAAUGCGUGGUGUAGCGGUGAAAUGCAUAGAUAUCACGCAGAACUCCGAUUGCGAAGGCAGCUUACUAAGCUACAACUGACACUGAGGCACGAAAGCGUGGGGAUCAAACAGGAUUAGAUACCCGUGUAGUC